rnacentral:rRNA from 1 species
GACGAACGCUGGCGGCGUGCUUAACACAUGCAAGUCGAACGGAAAGGCCCUGCUUUUGUGGGGUGCUCGAGUGGCGAACGGGUGAGUAACACGUGAGUAACCUGCCCUUGACUUUGGGAUAACUUCAGGAAACUGGGGCUAAUACCGGAUAGGAGCUCCUGCUGCAUGGUGGGGGUUGGAAAGUUUCGGCGGUUGGGGAUGGACUCGCGGCUUAUCAGCUGGUUGGUGAGGUAGUGGCUUACCAAGGCUUUGACGGGUAGCCGGCCUGAGAGGGUGACCGGCCACAUUGGGACUGAGAUACGGCCCAGACUCCUACGGGAGGCAGCAGUGGGGAAUAUUGCACAAUGGGCGGAAGCCUGAUGCAGCAACGCCGCGUGCGGGAUGACGGCCUUCGGGUUGUAAACCGCUUUCGCCUGUGACGAAGCGUGAGUGACGGUAAUGGGUAAAGAAGCACCGGCUAACUACGUG